rnacentral:rRNA from 1 species
ACGGGGUGCAGCAGGCGCGAAAUCUUCACAAUGUGCGAGAGCACGAUGAGGGGAUCCCAAGUGCUUGGCACGUAAGUGUCAGCUGUUUCUUAGUCUAAAAAACUGAGAGAGUAAGAGCUGGGUAAGACGGGUGCCAGCCGCCGCGGUAAUACCUGCAGCUCAAGUGGUGGCCGCUAUUAUUGGGCCUAAAACGUCCGUAGCCGGUUUAGUAAAUGCCUGGGUAAAUUGUGUAGCUUAACUAUACGAAUUCCGGGUAGACUGCUAAACUUGGGACCGGGAGAGGCUAGAGGUACUCCUGGGGUAGAGGUGAAAUUCUGUAAUCCUAGGGGGACCACCAGUGGCGAAGGCGUCUAGCUAGAACGGGUCUGACGGUGAGGGACGAAGCCCUGGGGCGCAAACCGGAUUAGAUACCCGGGUAGUCCAGGGUGUAAACGCUGCUUGCUUGAUGUUAGUUGGGCUCCGAGCCCAACUAGUGUCGGAGAGAAGUUGUUAAGCAAGCUGCCUGGGAAGUACGGUCGCAAGACUGAA